AGAGUGAACGCUGGCGGUAGGCCUAACACAUGCAAGUCGAACGGCAGCACGGUAAGAGCUUGCUCUUAUGGGUGGCGAGUGGCGGACGGGUGAGGAAUACAUCGGAAUCUACCUUUUGGUGGGGGAUAACGUAGGGAAACUUACGCUAAUACCGCAUACGCCCUUCGGGGGAAAGCCGGGGACCAGCAAUGGCCUGGCGCUGAUAGAUGAGCCGAUGUCGGAUUAGCUAGUUGGUGAGGUAAUGGCUCACCAAGGCGACGAUCCGUAGCUGGUCUGAGAGGAUGAUCAGCCACACUGGAACUGAGACACGGUCCAGACUCCGUACGGGAGGCAGCAGGUGGGGAAUUAGUUGGACAAGU
rnacentral:rRNA from 1 species